rnacentral:rRNA from 1 species
CGGGCAGAAGAAAGCCACCGGCUAACUUCCGUGCCAGCAGCCGCGGUAAUACGGAGGGUGCAAGCGUUAAUCGGAAUUACUGGGCGUAAAGCGCACGCAGGCGGUCUGUCAAGUCGGAUGUGAAAUCCCCGGGCUCAACCCUGGGAACUGCAUUCGAAACUGGCCAGGCCAGAGUCUUGUAGAGGGGGGUAGAAUUCCAGGUGUAGCGGUGAAAUGCGUAGAGAUCUGGAGGGAAUACCGGUGGCGAAGGCGGCCCCCCUGGACAAAGACUGACGCUCAGGUGCGAAAGCGUGGGGAGCAAACAGGACCAGAUACCCUGGUAGUCCACGCCGUAAACGAUGUCGAUUUGGAGGUUGUGCCCUUGAGGCGUGGCUUCCGGAGCUAACGCGUUAAAUCGACCGCCUGGGGAGUACGGCCGCAAGGUUAAAACUCAAAUGAAUUGACGGGGGCCCGCACAAGCGGUGGAGCAUGUGGUUUAAUUCGAUGCAACGCGAAGAACCUUACCUGGUCUUGACAUCCACAGAACUUAGCAGAGAUGCUUUGGUGCCUUCGGGAACUGUGAGACAGGUGCUGCAUGGCUGUCGUCAGCUCGUGUUGUGAAAUGCCGGGUUAAGUCCCGCAACGAGCGCAACCCUUAUCCUUUGUUGCCAGCGGUCCGGCCGGGAACUCAAAGGAGACUGCCAGUGAUAAACUGGAGGAAGGUGGGGAUGACGUCAAGUCAUCAUGGCCCUUACGACCAGGGCUACACACGUGCUACAAUGGCAUAUACAAAGAGAAGCGACCUCGCGAGAGCAAGCGGACCUCAUAAAGUAUGUCGUAGUCCGGAUUGGAGUCUGCAACUCGACUCCAUGAAGUCGGAAUCGCUAGUAAUCGUAGAUCAGAAUGCUACGGUGAAUACGUUCCCGGGCCUUGUACACACCGCCCGUCACACCAUGGGAGUGGGUUGCAAAAGAAGUAGGUAGCUUAACCUUCGGGAGGGC